AUGCAUCCAUUCCCAAAUCGAGCCUGGCAUCUCCAUCUCCCUCUCCCCCAACCUUCUUCUCCACCUCUGGCCGUCGCCGUGGCCAGGCCGGCGUGGCGGCGCGCCACCGCGCCCUCCGUCCACCAGCACCUCCAUACACUACCACCCAUCCACUCCAUCACUACCUCGCGCCGCUGCACCAUCCAUCAGCGCCACCCCUUCACCAUCAUUGCUCGCGCGCCCUACCAGACCAGGGGUCUGGUGCCCCGCGCGACCUUGCCUUCUGCUGCUUCCUUCUUCUUCCCCUGCCUCGCUGCUACCCUUCUUCUUCCCCUCGCUGCUCCUCCACCUCUCUUCUCCUCCUUCAAUCCCUUUGCAGCUUUGCUGCUGCUCGUCUCCUACUGCGCCCCCUUGCUGAUCUCCACUCCUCCUGCUACUCCUUUUCCCGUGAUCUGUUGCUGCUCCCUCUCCCACGAACCUUCUGUUGCUGCUCUCUCUUUUCUCUGCCUUGCUGCUGCUGUCCUCAACUUGCUUCUGCUGCUCUCUUCUUGCCCACGCCUCUUGCUGCUGUCUACUUUUCUGAACCAGAAAACUGCUGCUGCUUCUCUCCUCACGCCCCCUACUACUGCUCCUUUCCCAACCUUGCUGCUCUCUCUCUCUCUCAAAUUUCUGUAA
rnacentral:rRNA from 1 species